GCGCCCGUGGCACAAUUGGAUAGCGCGUCGGCCUCCGAAGCCGAAGGUUACAGGUUCGAAUCCUGUCGGGCGUAC
rnacentral:tRNA from 1 species